rnacentral:rRNA from 1 species
UACGUAGGGUGCAAGCGUUAAUCGGAAUUACUGGGCGUAAAGCGUGCGCAGGCGGUUGUGCAAGACAGAUGUGAAAUCCCCGGGCUCAACCUGGGAAUUGCAUUUGUGACUGCACGGCUAGAGUGUGUCAGAGGGGGGGGUAGAAUUCCACGUGUAGCAGUGAAAAUGCGUAGAGAUGUGGAGGAAUACCGAUGGCGAAGGCAGCCCCCCUGGGAUAACACUGACGCUCAUGCACGAAAAGCGUGGGGGAGCAAACAGG